rnacentral:lncRNA from 1 species
ACAAUAAAAUUACCUUCUGAUAGUCUUUCAACUUGGCCAGGAAAAUCAUGUCCUGCAUCAACCAGUGAUUUUCUAACAUCAUGUUUGAGCUGCAAUGCCAACCUUUCUGUAUGAUUAACAUAUAUAGCCAUCGUAAGAAAAAGUAUAGCACAUAUAAAUAAAGAGAGAACAGCGUUAUCGUCCAUACUAAUAUAGAUUAUCCA